rnacentral:rRNA from 1 species
GACGAACGCUGGCGGCGGGCCUAACACAUGCAAGUCGAACGGAAAGGCCCUGCUAUUGUGGGGUGCCCGAGUGGCGAACGGGUGAGUAACACGUGAGUAACCUGACCUUGUCUUUGGGAUAACUUCAGGAAACUGGGGCUAAUAUCGGAUGGGAGCUCCUGUUGCAUGGUGGGGGUUGGAAAGUUUCGGCGGUUGCGGAUGGACUAGCGGCUGAUCGGCUUGCUGGUGGGGUAGUGGCUUACCAAGGCAGUGACGGGUAGCCGGCCUGAGAGGGUGACCGGCCACAUUGGGACUGAGAUACGGCGCAGACUCCUACAGGGGGCAACAGUGGGGAGUAUUGCACAAUGGGCGGAAGCCUGAUGAAACAACGCCGCGUGCGGGAUGACGGCCUUCGGGUUGUAAACCGCUUUCGCCUGUGACGAAGCGUGUGUGACGGUAAUGGAUAAAUAAGCACCGGCUAACUUCGUG